GGGCCAUUAGCUCACAUGGUAGAGCAACUGACUCUUAAUCAGUGGGUAGCAGGUUCGAUUCCUGCAUGGCCCA
rfam:Omnitrophica WOR_2 bacterium RIFOXYA2_FTLL_38_17 rifoxya2_full_scaffold_505, whole genome shotgun sequence.